AUAAUUACCUGGCAGGGGAAAUACCAUGAUUACAAAGGUGGUUUUCCCAGGGCAAGAAUUAUCCACUGCACUCCAGAUGGGCUGACCCCUGGGAUUUCUCCAAAUGUGGGAAACUCAACUGCACAGUUUGUGGUAGUUGGGGACUGCGUUCAGACUCUCA
rnacentral:snRNA from 1 species